rnacentral:tRNA from 1 species
GGAGAGAUUCAGUCACUGGUGUGGCUCGCGGUCUUCAAAACCGUGGCGUGGGACCGUGUCUCAUGGGUAGGUUCGAUUCCUGCAUCUCUCCGUCCA